ACAUCUGACCUGUUGAGUGCUUUUGUUAGCUCAUGUUUAUUAUUUAACCAAAACAGAAAUGCUGUCCAAUGCCAGUACUUGUGUAGAACGUUCAUAGCAUGUCCCAUUUAAGCAUGUGGAUGCUAGUGGACGGAUCAGUCCUGCCAGGCUGUUGAACUAAAGUCGGAACAAUAUUUGACUGCAUUGUUCACUGAUGGCAAACAGUGCAAUAUACAUAUAUAUAUAUAUCUGAUCUUUGCAGUGUCAUUCCAGACCUUGCACCUUAGGUUCUGCCGCAUUAACACAGUGUUGGAGGAUGCUGCAGGCUUUAGGUCGUAAAAUCAGGCCGUGUCGUAGUUUCUCUUCCCCCCCUACCCCAAAAGGAGGAAUCCUUUGAGUCAGUCCAGCUGCUGAACGUAGACCGUUCAAGAGCUCCAGUGAUAAGGUAAAGCAGCAAACGCAAUGAAAUUUAAAUUCUGUGAUUGCAAAUUGUUGCUCAGAUUGAUUUGUUUCUGCCAGCCUGGGUUGACUUUAACUCUUUCAUGAUGCUACAGUGUGUUUAGAGGUUGUUUCUGAAUGCCUUUAUUUACAAAUGUACCUCUUUUUUAAGCUUUAGAAAGUUGGAUGAGAGCAGGAACUGAAACUUUAAAUGACCCAUACAGUGUUUUAGGCAGAAAAGUUGGAGGUUAUCAGUUUUUAUUUGUAGUAAAUAAAAAAUUUUAAAAAAGGUUUUUAAUUGUUUUAGACUGAGAUGCGCUAAAGUGUUUGAACACGGGUUGUAGAGGACAAAACGAGAAGCAUGCCUUAGAGGUAAAACAGGUUUCAUGUGCUGUGUAUAUUACAUUACUGGGUUGUCUUUUCAAUUACCUUUAAUAUGUUGCCAUGUUCACCAAUAAAGUUGUUACAAACGGGA